GCGUCGGUGGCCCAAGGAAAGGCGCCCCACUUCCUGUGGGGAGAUGCAGGUGCAAGGCCUGCCCGGCGCUCCG
rnacentral:tRNA from 1 species